GUGAAUCAUCAAAUUUUUGAACGCAAAUUGCACUCUCUUCGGAGAGUAAGACUGUUUGAGGGUCAGAAUUAAUAAAAACAGGAGUAUUGCUGCUUUGUGAAGCUACGGAGGAUGGGGGAUCUUAAUAUCCGUGAGGUUUUAAGAGGCUGAAAAUUGAAUUUUUUUGCGCAUUUUAGAUGUACAUAAAUUCGUUUUGU
rnacentral:misc_RNA from 1 species